UACGGAGGGUGCAAGCGUUGUUCGGAAUCAUUGGGCGUAAAGCGCGUGUAGGCGGCUUGGCAAGUCGGUUGUGAAAGCCCGGGGCCCAACCCCGGAACUGCAUCUGAAACUGCCUGGCUAGAGUCCCGGAGAGGAAGGCAGAAUUCCCGGUGUAGGGGUGAAAUCCGUAGAUAUCGGGAGGAAUACCAGCGGCGAAGGCGGCAUCCUGGACUGGUACUGACACUCAGGAGCGAAAGCGUGGGGAGCAAUCCGG
rnacentral:rRNA from 1 species